rnacentral:rRNA from 1 species
UGGGGAAUAUUGGACAAUGGGGGGAACCCUGAUCCAGCCAUGCCGCGUGUGUGAAGAAGGCCUUAUGGUUGUAAAGCACUUUAAGCGAGGAGGAGGCUCUUUUGGUUAAUACCCAAGAUGAGUGGACGUUACUCGCAGAAUAAGCACCGGCUAACUCUGUGCCAGCAGCCGCGGUAAUACAGAGGGUGCGAGCGUUAAUCGGAUUUACUGGGCGUAAAGCGUGCGUAGGCGGCUUUUUAAGUCGGAUGUGAAAUCCCCGAGCUUAACUUGGGAAUUGCAUUCGAUACUGGGAAGCUAGAGUAUGGGAGAGGAUGGUAGAAUUCCAGGUGUAGCGGUGAAAUGCGUAGAGAUCUGGAGGAAUACCGAUGGCGAAGGCAGCCAUCUGGCCUAAUACUGACGCUGAGGUACGAAAGCAUGGGGAGCAAACAGGAUUAGGAUACCCUGGUAGUCCAUGCCGUAAACGAUGUCUACUAGCCGUUGGGGUCUUUGAGACUUUAG